UGGCAGUCUGAGGAAUGUCACCUUGUCUUGGGAAUGGGUGCAGUGGACAUCAGGAAGGGACCAUGGAAAGCUGAUGCUGACCACACUCCACAUCAUUAAAAGCAACAAGAAAACCAUUAAUGUCACCAGAGGCAGAAGCACAGGACACCCCAGGAAAGUCAAUGGCCUCACAGACAACUUGUCAGCCACCUGAAGCACUUGAGUGACCCAGGCUCUGCUGAGUAAAGAUCUUCCUACUACAGCUAUGUCUCAGCUGGAGCAAGGGCCAGUGCUCCAUGCCCCAGACCAUAUUCCUAUCUAGGUGGCUCCUUCAUCUUCAUGCUCCAGUCCAAUCUUAGGCAGGGGCUGGUGUGGGGAAGUUCCCCUAGUUGGGAAGAAGGGGGUGAUUCCCUUUCCACUUCUGCAAUGACUACCCACAACUUGCAUUUUGAAGAGACUGUCAGUCUAUUUCUGUCCUGUUCUUUGGCAGAGGAGGUGAGGAACCACAUUCAAUACCCAUGAGUGGUCUCUCAAGUGGCAACGCUUUGCUCCAAGUCCCUGUAGAAAACAUAGCUUCUCCCUUCCCUCUGUGUCCUGCAUGUUUUCCUUCUCAGACAAAAGCAUAAUCCAUUAAAAGCAUCUCUCUGCCCAUUAAAGCCAAAGCUAAAAUCUCUGUAGAAAUGCUGCCUUGCAGCCAGAAAGGUAAUGAUUUAGGAGACCACAGCUGGGCUAAGGGUGAGAACAAUGGUGGAGAGGUCGAAAGGGUCCAGAACCCAUUACAGAGUUCCUGAUAACCAUUCC
rnacentral:lncRNA from 1 species